UGACCUCGGAUCAGGUAGGAAUACCCGCUGAACUUAAGCAUAUCAAUAAGCGGAGGAAAAGAAACCAACAGGGAUUGCCCCAGUAACGGCGAGUGAAGCGGCAACAGCUCAAAUUUGAAAUCUGGCCCCCAGGGCCCGAGUUGUAAUUUGCAGAGGAUGCUUUGGGCGCGGUGCCUUCCGAGUUCCCUGGAACGGGACGCCAUAGAGGGUGAGAGCCCCGUAGGUUGGACACCAAGCCUGUGUAAAGCUCCUUCGA
rnacentral:ncRNA from 1 species